UUUUCAAUUCAAAUUGCUUUGUUGGCAUGAAUGUCAGGAAUAACAAUAUUGCCAAAGCUUCUCUCUCUGUCUCUCUCU